GCCGGGAUGCUGAAAUUGGUAUACAGGCAUGCUUGAGGUGCAUGUGUCCGCAAGGACGUGGGGGUUCAAGUCCCCCUCUCGGCACCA
rnacentral:tRNA from 1 species